GGGUUACUUUUGUUCGAGAGAGAGUAAGUGGCGCACGGGUGAGUAACGCGUGGAUAAUCUGCCUCUGAAUCGGGGAUAACGUUGCGAAAGUGACGCUAAUACCGGAUAAUAUCUAAGAAACUUCGGUUUUUCAGAUCAAAGGAGGCCACUACAUGUAAGCUUCCGUUCGGAGAUGAGUCCGCGUGCCAUUAGCUUGUUGGUAGGGUAACGGCCUACCAAGGCUGCGAUGGUUAGCUGGUCUGAGAGGAUGAUCAGCCACACUGGAACUGAGACACGGUCCAGACUCCUACGGGAGGCAGCAGUGAGGAAUCUUGCGCAAUGGGGGAAACCCUGACGCAGCAACGCCGCGUGAGUGAAGAAGGCUUUCGGGUCGUAAAGCUCUGUCAAGUGGGAAGAACCUGUUCCAUGUUAAUACCAUGGAGCACUGACGGUACCACUGAAGGAAGCACCGGCUAACUCCGUGCCAGCAGCCGCGGUAAUACGGAGGGUGCGAGCGUUAUUCGGAAUUACUGGGCGUAGAGGGCGCGCAGGCGGCUUUUUAAGUCGGGCGUGAAAGCCCGGGGCUAAGCCCCGGAAGGGCGUUCGAAACUAAAUGGCUUGAGUACGGGAGAGGGAAGUGGAAUUCCUGGUGUAGAGGUGAAAUUCGUAGA
rnacentral:rRNA from 1 species